GUACGACUUUUAUAGAAGCAAUACCAGGCGAAACAAUAGUUUUGAAAUACAGAUUAAAUGCUACCAAUGCAGACUGGUAUGGACCAGCGUAUGAUAAUAAUGCAAUUCGUUAUGUUGAUGUAAUUGAUACGUAUGGUCAAAGUAAAAUAUGGAACAUAAGUAAAUAUUCGGACGAUGCUAGUAUAAGUAACAGUCUACCACAUAAAAAUCGAUUACAUAUUGUUGGACAUAAUACGAAAGGAGAAUUUUUCUUAGAGAUUAGUAAUGUAUCAGUUGACGAUGCAGGUCUAUACCAAUGCAGAAUAUAUACAUUGAUCGAAUAUUUCUCAGUCACGACCAGAUCAUUUAUAUUACAUCUUAAAUAUAUACCAGACUUGUUAAUCACAUCUGAACCACAAAUGCCCAUUUAUGAAGGAAGUUCACUGCGUUUGUGUUGCCUCUCUAACAAUCGUUUUCCGAAUGAAAAUAUUUGGUGGCUUAACACAAAAGUUGAUCGACAAGAUCGUCCGAAUCCUAGUACAGCUUGCGUUCAUUUUUUAAAGAUCAGCCGCAAUGAUAGUGGAAUCUAUACAUGCAAAGCUGAACACGAAGAACAGAAAGUCACUGCCAACAUUACUCUUGAUGUAUUACCCAACUUCUCUUCAGAAGAAAACACAGUAUCUUCAAAAGACGUUGUCAUUAUAGUAUUACUCGUGCUUAUUGUUGUCAUUCUGGUAGUAACGGGAACAUAUGUAUUGUACCUUAAACGGAGAUACAGAAAGAGG